UUGAAUGGUAUAGCAUUAUUUGGUACUUGAACACCUGGGG
rnacentral:antisense_RNA from 1 species